rnacentral:rRNA from 1 species
UACGUAGGGGGCAAGCGUUGUCCGGAAUCAUUGGGCGUAAAGAGCGUGUAGGCGGCUUGGUAAGUCCGCUGUGAAAGUCCAGGGCUCAACCCUGGAAUGCCGGUGGAAACUGUCAAGCUUGAGUCCGGAAGAGGCGAGUGGAAUUCCUGGUGUAGCGGUGAAAUGCGCAGAUAUCAGAAGGAACACCAAUGGCGAAGGCAGCUCGCUGGGACGGUACUGACGCUGAGACGCGAAAGCGUGGGGAGCAAACAGG